AGCAGCCGCGGUAAUUCCAGCUCCAAUAGCGUAUAUUAAAGUUGUUGCAGUUAAAAAGCUCGUAGUUGAAUUUCGAGAUCAAUUUGUUGGUCGUGCCUCGGUACGUACUGGCAAUUUUGAUUUCUCCCUUCUGAAGAACCAUGAUGUCAUUAAUUUGGUGUCAUGGGGAAUCAGGACCGUUACUUUGAAAAAAUUAGAGUGUUUAAAGCAGGCUCGCGCUUGAAUACAUUAGCAUGGAAUAAUGAAAUAGGACGUUUGAUUCUAUUUUGUUGGUUUCUAGGAUCGACGUAAUGAUUAAUAGGGAUAGUUGGGGGCAUUAGUAUUCAAUUGUCAGAGGUGAAAUUCUUGGAUUUAUUGAAGACUAACUACUGCGAAAGCAUUUGCCAAGGAUGUUUUCAUUAAUCAAGAACGAAAGUUAGGGGAUCGAAGACGAUCAGAUACCGUCGUAGUCUUAACCAUAAACUAUGCCGACUAGGGAUCGGAUGAUGUUAAUUUUUAAUGACUCAUUC
rnacentral:rRNA from 1 species